CUCUCUCCAUUUCCAGCUGGGCUACAUUGUAAUACACACACACAUGCACGCUCACUCACACUCGCUCUGCCUGUCUGACACAGACUCUCUACUUAGAGCGCUGGAGAGAGGACUGAGGCUCACACUAUCAGCACAGCUUCUCAAUGGGGGGAUGCAGCCAAGAGCAGACAGAGCAGUCAUUCCACUGGAGCCUUCCGCUGCACGAAGGAGACGACAAGUGAGGAGGGUAAAUUAGCUCCCUGUCAUCACAGCAAAGGAGUUUCACUGACGGAGAAGAGACAGUGAAGGAAGGAGGGGAGAUCCGCACAAAUGUGGCUGAUACAGCAGUGACAUGAUCAGCCGUCCAUCCCUUCAAACCCUUGGCCAGUUUGUGACACAGACCCCUGGGUGUUUUUGUUUUCUGGUGACUGUUUGAAGGAUUUCAAGAGGACCUGAGCAGCACCAGCAGGAGGUCCAGAGAAGGGAAUAUUAAAGAGGUGGAGGGAAAGAAAAACAAAACACAGAACAGCAACAGCACCUUUUUGUGUCUGGUGGUAGUGGAAUUUCAGGCGGAAAUCCCUGGCUUCCAAGCAUGGAUGGAUUUAAGACAGAGGAGUGAGUCUGCUGGGCGGGCAGGCAGACAGUGAUUCUGACUGAACUCCUUUCCUACUGAACACACUGCUCAGACUCGGCCUUACCAUGUCCUGGUUGUUGGCCAUGUGGAUUAGCCUCGGCUUCCUGCUGCUGUGCCAGGCCACACUCUACCAGACCAUCCAGCAGCACCAUGUGGCCCGGCCCGGUCGCACUGACAUCCUCACCCUGGAGGGCGGCACAUGUGAGGUGAUAGCCGCCCACCGAUGCUGUAACAAGAAUCGUAUUGAGGAGCGCUCUCAGACAGUCAAGUGCUCCUGUUUACCAGGGAAAGUGGCCGGGACGACACGCAACAAACCCUCCUGUGUGGAUGCGUCCAUUGUAAUUGGGAAAUGGUGGUGUGAGAUGGAACCAUGUCUGGAGGGAGAAGAGUGCAAGACUCUGCCUGACAACUCUGGAUGGAUGUGCUCCUCCGGGAACAAAAUCAAGACCACAAGGGUGAGACUCUGCACACACUUGAGCGCAAACGCAUUUAUCUGCAUGCACACAUCUGCAGCCACAAUACAUAAAUGCACUUGUGCAUAUACAACACGUGCAUAUGCUUGUUGUGUAUGUACUGCUUGCGCACCUUUUAACUCAGACAUGCUCACACAUACAUAUCCACAUGAGCACUACCACAACAGUUUAUUCCCAAUAUACCAGACCAGACUUCAUGCUACAUUUUAACCAUUUUUCCUUUGACUUGAAGUAAGUUAAUCGCUACAAAUACCAAAAGAGAAAUUCUUCUGCUGUCGUUGAAUAAUGAAGCACACGCACUGUCAACCCUGUAUGUAAAAAGGGUGUGCACACACACCACACUGUACAGAGAUUAAUCAGAAGCCAUGCGUGCCCUCUGUAUUGACAAAUUCUGUUCGGUGUAAGCGAACCAAUGUAAGGUUCCCAUAGUGGUAAAGAAAAAAAUAAGACCGGCAGUAAGCAAACAGGUGGGCUCUGCCUCAGGCCACACUCCUCUCAGAUAUAAAGUUAACGGCCACUCUGUUUCUCCACUGCCUUUCGGCUCUGUAAACCGACUCCGAAUGCAGCAUGCAAAAAUAAUGAAGGGAGUUAAGUCCUGGAAGCCUGCAGUCCAGCACUGUGUGACAGGUUGAUCACCUGAUUUGUAUUCACUUAAUUGACCCCCUCCUUUGCCUCUAGUGCUUGGUGACAAUGACUUUGAAUACAAGCAGAGACUAAUGUGAUGGCAGGGAAACAGGGAGCUGUCAGUGAAGGUUAGACCGCAUGGGGCUUCCCAAGGUUGUUCUGUAGAUUUAUAUGCCGGCAGAUAGGCAUAAAGCUUUCACUGGGGCCCUCACAGCCACCACAGGCUUAAAAAAUUUCCCAAAGAAGCUGAUGGAAUGGGGUGUUGCAAAGCCUGUCAAGGUAAGAUGCAGUGUUUGGUUCACUUCAGCCAUUUGCACAAUUUGAAAUAACUUGAAGUGAUGAUUGUCUUAUGCAGCUUCAGGUACUUUUUUAUUCUCUUAAGAUCAAGAUUGUAAAUUUCUGCACACAAAUAGAGAAGAAGCAAUACGGUAAAAUGACUUUGGUCUAACAUCGAAACCAACAGGGCCAAAAGGUCUGGCCUGAAGCUGCUUUUCUACCCAAUACACACGUGUCCUUUUUUCUUGACCCUCUCUUUGCAGAACACCCAGCCAUACUCCCCUUUUUAGCUUCCGGAAGCAAAAUGCAGAGGAUGCGUCAACAGAAAUUGAGCUGCAUUCUUGCUUCUGUAAAGAUUCAUCCGAGGACCUAACAGAGAGCUCCCAUUGCAGGGCUGAGCGCCAGGCUCUUCCCCUCAUGUACCCUUUCUCUUCCCACCGAAUGGACUAAAACUAUUACAUCCACGGCUACUGACUGGAUUACCUGGGACCACAGAAAGGAUAUCCACCCAGAUAAAACAGCUUUGCUUGCGUGGUGCCGAGGAUUUGAAACCAGACUAAUCCCCUGUUUGAUCAAUGAGCCCCAUGUUGGUGACUCUCCUCUUCCGCACAGCUGUGGCCAGUUUCCGACCUACUCUCUGUUUCCCUCACACCGUCUCCCACCUCAAAAACUGAAACAGCUUAGCAGGGGUUAUUUAGGGGUUGUUAAAACAUUAUUUGAAGACAUUCUCCAAGCCUGCCUGAAGGUGAAGCGGUUGAGGAGCUUAUAUAGACCUGAACAUGGGACCCACAGAACUGAGGGCACAACAGAGGGAAAUUACCUUGAUAUCCUUCUAUUUCUGUGUGGGAGGUGUUCGUAUUUGACUCUCUACCUGAGCUGAAUGGCUUUGCUGUGACUACACGGAGGAGAUUUAGCCGGAAAAACACUGGAUUUUCAGUAACUGCAACCAACAGCAGCCUAUAAUAAGAUGAUGAAGAAUCUUUGAGAGGCUCUAGGCUUCGCCCUCGUGGCCUCUGCUUCAUCCUCCACAUGAUGGACGUUUUGGCAUUUCUUGGUGGGCAUGCCCAAUGUAAAUUUAUGAGCACUUCUUUUCUUUGUAAGAUACUUUGUGUAAAUACACAUAUAUAAAUACAUUACAUAUAAGAUGACAGCUCCAAGAAGCUGAUAGAUAUAUUUAAGACUCUACUAGGAGCCCAAUGGUGGAAUACUGAUCAGCCCUUGAGCACAAUCCGGAGGCUGUUGUCCCAAUACGGUGUGUAUAGGACUGCUUUGCAGUGUGUGCUUGCAUUGGAAAAAGACAACUAAAGUCAUUCAAAUAAGUUCUGGUCACUUUUGUCAUUCAGCAAUGUUGUUGGUUAAGCCAGAAAAAUGCUUGUAGUUUCUGUAAACAUGAGGAAAAACACUGUAUAGAACAGCCUCACAAAAGAAAGCAGCACUAACUCCAACCCUCGCCCUUUCCACUCAGAUAUGGUAGGGACUCAGAAGAGCAACAGAAAACCUCAGAAUCAGACAGUGUCACUUUCUGCUGUGGAGAGUGGUCAUGGGCAGGGAUGUUUGUCAUGUAGGUCUCCCUCUCACACACCAGAGAGAGAGGAUUUAUUCAAAAUGGCAGUGAGAAAGUAUUCGUCAAAAUGGAGAAACAUAGUUAUCCCCCAGUAGAUAUAAGUACAUUACAGGACAGCCUUAUGAGUAAUAAAAAUGGUUUUCUAUACUGA